rnacentral:rRNA from 1 species
ACGAACGCUGGCGGCGUGCUUAACACAUGCAAGUCGAACGGUGAAGCGCCUUCCUUUUUGGUGGGUGUGGAUGAGUGGCGAACGGGUGAGUAACACGUGAGUAACCUGCCCCCUUCUUCUGGAUAACCGCAUGAAAGUGUGGCUAAUACGGGAUAUUCUGGGUCUGUCGCAUGAUGGGUCUGGGAAAGAUAUUGUUUCGGUGGGGGAUGGGCUCGCGGCCUAUCAGCUUGUUGGUGGGGUGAUGGCCUACCAAGGCGGUGACGGGUAGCCGGCCUGGGAGGGUGGACGGUCACGCUGGGACUGAGACACGGCCCAGCCUCCUACGGGAGGCAGCAGGGGGGAAUAUUGCACAAUGGGCGCAAGCCUGAUGCAGCGACGCCGCGUGAGGGAUGGAGGCCUUCGGGUUGUGAACCUCUUUCGCCAGUGAAGCAGGCCUGCCUCGUUUGUGGGUGGGUUGACGGUAGCUGGAUAAGAAGCGCCGGCUAACUACGUG